rnacentral:piRNA from 1 species
GACAAGACAAGCUACAAAGACAAUGGAAA